AGUGAACGCUGGCGGUAGGCCUAACACAUGCAAGUCGAACGGCAGCACAGGAGAGCUUGCUCUCUGGGUGGCGAGUGGCGGACGGGUGGGGAAUACAUCGGAAUCUACUCUGUCGUGGGGGAUAACGUAGGGAAACUUACGCUAAUACCGCAUACGACCUACGGGUGAAAGCAGGUGCUCUUCGGACCUUGCGCGAUUGAAUGAGCCGAUGUCGGAUUAGCUAGUUGGCGGGGUAAAGGCCCACCAAGGCGACGAUCCGUAGCUGGUCUGAGAGGAUGAGCAGCCACACUGGAACUGAGACACGGUCCAGACUCCUACGGGAGGCAGCAGUGGGGAAUAUUGGACAAUGGGCGCAAGCCUGAUCCAGCCAUACCGCGUGGGUGAAGAAGGCCUUCGGGUUGUAAAGCCCUUUUGUUGGGAAAGAAAUCCAGCUGGUUAAUACCCGGUUGGGAUGACGGCACCCAAAGAAUAAGCACCGGCUAACUUCGUGCCAGCCGCCGCGGUAAGAC
rnacentral:rRNA from 1 species